GGGGGCAGAGCUGAGGUGGAUGGGCUGAUGUGAGGGGAGGGGGGCGGUUCUGAGGGAUGUGAGGGGCAGAUCUGAGGGGAGAGGGGCAGAUCUGAGAGGAAUGGGAUCUGUGCUCAGCUCCCCAAGGUGUGUUCACACGUGAGCAAACACAGUCCUAGUGCAGCCCUCCAUUGCAGCAGUGCACUGCCUGCCCCUCUGCUGCCACACAGGGCUGUGCCAGGCGUAGGAUCGGAGCUGGGAGACCCCGCACAGCUGAGGGAUCUCCUGGGACCAAUCUGUGGCUGCACACACCGGCGUGGAUCGACGGCUUUGCGUCACGUUAUCGCAUAUCUGCUCCUGCUGCAUUGCACACCGGCAGGUUUCUGCUGCAUUAUCCUAAUUGGGGGAACUCCCAUUCCCACAGCUAUGCUGGGGCCCAGAGCCGGCCAUUAACUGACCCUUCUGGCACCCGAUCUGCAUGCAGGAAUGCACGGUGGCCUCGAGAGGGACGCUGCUUUUCCCUCUGAAAUCUUUCUGCUAUUACUGAUAACUGAGCACUGAAUAUGGACGCGCUCUCUUUCAAAAGCACCACGUCCUUCUCCUUGCAGCACGGCGCAGACUCACACCCCGUUGCUGGCAGAGCUGCUUCCACGCAUUUCAGCAUUGGUUUUUUUUGCUCAAAACUGUGUUUUCUGCUCUCUCCUGCUUGUGUUUCACUGCCUCGUCAGGGCUGCAAACAUCAGAGGGAGCUGCAGGCUGCUGCUCGGCCCCGUGUGCGGCUGCAAGGGUGGACACCGCGUGGAGCAAGCAGCACCGGCCCUUGGCCACCGUGCAGGCGGCUAAUUAGAGCCCUGCGUGUGAUGAAAUAAAUGAAAAUGAGUCAUUUUGUGGUGGUGGCCUGAUGGAAAGAAGCCCAGGAGGGAAGGGAUCGUAUGGACAGUGCAGGAAUGUGCUCGGGGUGCUGUCACACCCAGGCAGGGGUGCAGAAAGGACGGGGAGAAGCGGCUGCCCGUCCCUGGAGUGAAGCAGAAGUGAUCAGCAGUGUUAUUAGACAAAGAGGCGCCGUCAGAAACAGUGCCAUCUGGGAGGCUUCGACUUCCCCGAAAUAAAGCUGAGAACAAACGCUCCUAAAAACGGCACCGUGCUGCUAUUUCUAGACCUGAUCACCACCAGAUUGCUUUACCAAUCAGGCGCUCGCAGCCGGCUCAGCACAACGAGCAGCCCGAGCACAGCCACGCUGCAGGAAGCAGAGGACAUCCUACGUUGCUCUGCGCUGUGGAGGUGCAUUCCAAGCAGAAGAUGGGAACAGAGACCCACAGAAGCGUCACCCAGCCAGCCCCAAGCAGAGGCAGCGGGGUACAAUGCGUCAGCCCAGCUUUGGCAGUCUUCAUCCAUUGUAAAGCGGAGAAAAUCCCCCCAUUUCCAUUAAAAAAAAAGAAGUUAGCUUCACAGUACAAGUUUCUACCCAGUCCUACGUCAGGUUAGUGGGGCCGGAGGGGGAGUGCAGGGAUGGGAAGGGGGCAAAAUGCUUAAAGUUUCCAGCUUCAAAACUAUCGUAACAUCUGGUUUCUGGGAUAGGUGCUCUGUGGGGCUUUGCAGGAGUGGGUGAAGGGCUUUGGGGAGCACCCAUGGGUGCCACAGGGCUGAUCCUGGAGGUGGGGGACAGCCCAGCCCCACAGCCCAGCCCUGUGCUGCUCCCACCCCACAGCAGACCUCGGGAACCCCAGCCCGAGGUGUUGGCUGCGCAUCCUUCCAGCAGUUCUUAAUAUAAGACAACGAGGAAUCAUCCACGACUGAUAGCACAAACUGCUCUGGAACUUUGGGUGCACGACCCCCCCCCGGUGCAGGAGCACAGCCCUGGGACCCCUCCGAGCAUCGCCCCCCACUCUGACCUUACCCCUGGGAGCUGCCUGCUGGAGUGAGGGCGGAACGGAAGACGUUUCUCCGUGCCCUGUAGAGAAGCACAGCUAGAGCAGGUUAAAACCAACACUAAUCAGUAACAAUUAAAAAGGAUAAAAGGGGGAGAAUAGCUUAUUCUGGAGGCUGGCUGCCAGGGCACGCAUGAGCUGGGGUUGGGGCAAUGGGAUGUGUUGUGGGGGUGAGGAUUGGGGUUGGGGUGAGCAUUGGGGUGCACUCCCAUACCACACCAUCCCUAGGAUGGCCCCCCCCUGCUUGCAGCCCCCCUCAAGCAUUUGGGGCACCCCUCAAUCUCCUCAUGGAGCAGAGGUGAUGGCGCUGCUGCUGAGGGUCUUUUGUUCACAGUAUGAGCUGAGCAGCCGUGGCACAGAGUCCUUUGGUGCUGGGGUGUGUGUGGGGGGGACAGGUCAGGAGACACCCACCACGAGCUGGGGAGCAAAGUCCGGGUGUCAGUCUGGUGUCUGUGGGUGUGCUGGGGGGAGUAGGGGGAGGGAAGUGACCCCACGUGUGAUUUAAUACCUUAGAAAAAAAAACCCAAUAGGAUCUUCCCUAAACCCCACGAGCCCCAAAGCCCCAAAAGAUCCGCAAAAACCUCGGGGAGCAGCCAACAGGACAGCCCUAUCUCGUCAGCAGCCAGCAAACGAGGGCAGAUUUGG
rnacentral:lncRNA from 1 species